CAGUAGCCGCGGUAAUACGUAGGUGGCAAGCGUUGUCCGGAAUUAUUGGGCGUAAAGGGCUCGCAGGCGGUUUCUUAAGUCUGAUGUGAAAGCCCCCGGCUCAACCGGGGAGGGUCAUUGGAAACUGGGAAACUUGAGUGCAGAAGAGGAGAGUGGAGUUCCACGUGUAGCGGUGAAAUGCGUAGAGAUGUGGAGGAACACCAGUGGCGAAGGCAACUCUCUGGUCUGUAACUGACGCUGAGGAGCGAAAGCGUGGGGAGCGAACAGGAUUAGAUACCCCAGUAGUCCCUGUCUCUUAUAC
rnacentral:rRNA from 1 species